ensembl:misc_RNA Metazoa_SRP Metazoan signal recognition particle RNA
GCUGGGCAUGGUGGUGCAUGCCUGUAGUCCCAGCUACUCGGGAGGCUGAGGCGGGAGGAUCGCUUGAGCCCAGUAGUUGGAGGUUGCAGUGAGCUGAGAUCGUGCCACUGCACUCCAGCCUGGGUGACAGAGCGAGACCCUGUCUCAA